rnacentral:rRNA from 1 species
GACGUAGGGCGCGAGCGUUGUCCGGAUUUAUUGGGCGUAAAGAGCUCGUAGGCGGCUCAUUGCGUCAACCGUGAAAACCCGCGGCUCAACUGCGGGCUUGCGGUUGAUACGGGUGGGCUGGAGUUCGGUAGGGGAGACUGGAAUUCCUGGUGUAGCGGUGAAAUGCGUAGAUAUCGUAAGGAAGACCAGUGGCGAAGGCGGGUCUCUGGACAGUUCCUGACGCUGAGGCACGAAGGCCAGGGGAGCAAACGGG